rnacentral:lncRNA from 1 species
AUCAGUGAUAAUUGAGUCAACGGCGUCUAUGGAGUACACUAACAACAAAAUAGACCAAGGAACAAAAGGCAGAUGUUAGCUUUCCUCCUAUCCUACUU